AACCUUAAUUAAACUCGAACAUGGUCGUGAUUCGUUAAUCUAAGACAUGUCGAACACAAUAAAUUCAUACCCAAAAAACAGUUUAUAUAAGAUGGUGGCGCCGAAUAUUGCGACAAAGUAGCUUUACUAUAUAAGUUCUAUAUUAUAUUAUGAUAUAUACUUUAUACAUUUAUAGAUGAAUUGGCCAAUUAAUAUAUUAACCUGACUUGGAGCAAUAUUAUCUGUUUUGGAUUCAUUUUCACCUCGUUGACGACCCAAGUCGUUCACCAUUGCAACAAUAGUUGAAAGCCAUAGAGGAAGGAAAGAAUCUAAAGGAUGUUCCUUGAGCACUUUUUCUGUUAUCAUGGGGCCACUUUCUUCUAUAAAUCCCCACUCCUUCAUUCAACACCACGCCACUACCACUCCCACCAUCUUGUUCUUCUUCGGGCAUUCAAGGGUAGGAGGAAAAGCUGCCGACAAAAGUAAUAUUUUGAGAGAAAAUAGAGCAAACUACACCAAGAUAUGACAAGAAUUGAGAACCUGAUGGAAACAAGAGAUUGAGCAAUUGCCCCAGUUUGAUGUCAAAUUAAUGGAGUGAAAAGUGGAAGGAUUUAGACUAACUUGGACUUUGAACAAGUGAGACAAAUGAUUUACAUCACUUUAGACUCGAGUGGAUAGAAUCAAACAGUGACACAUAUGGGAAGGAUAACCCGUAUUUAGAAUGGUGGAAUAUGGAUGAUACAGGCAUUGACUUGAUUAAAAUUGAGACACAUGGAUUAUAUGAUUGGAAUGAAAAUGUGAUGAUAGUUGAGAACUUGUCCCAGUAUAAAAAGAGUACUUUGAGUUGCCCCAAUUUAUAAAGAAAUAGGGAACAAAGUUGGAUUAGACAAUUAUUCCAAUCAUAGGCUAAGGUGAUGAAAUGACGAUGAGAUCUUUUGCCUCAGUGUGAAGUGGUUGUUCCAAUUUAGUCUUGAGAGGCAGGGGUAGAGUAGGAGACAAUGAUGAAUGUGAUUGCUUUGUUUUCUGAUUCAAGGAAAUAACAUUGAUGUAUGAAUUGAUGGAAGAAUGAGACAUAAAACAAAUGUCUCAUUUAAUUGGGUUCAACUAACCAUAGCGAGUUUGAACCCAUUAUGCUUCCUCAAGUUUGCUUUCGGCCAAUACUCUCAAAGAAGGUAUCUCAACCUCAAUGGGAAUGAUUGCUUCCAUACCAUAAACCAGAGAAUACGGAGUUGCCCCAGUAGAGGUGCGGACAAAAAUGUGAUAUCCAUACAGAGCAAAAAAGAGCAUUUCAGGCUAAUCCUGGUAGGCGACCACCAUCUUCUGAAUAAUCUUCUUUAUAUUCUUAUUUGCCGCUUCUAUUGCCCCAUUCAUCUUAGGACAACAUGGUGAAGGAUUGUGAUGUUGAAUUUUGAACUCUUCACACAACUCUUUCAUCAUCUUGUUACUCAUAUUGGUCUUAUUAUCAAUAACGAUGUGAAUUGAUAGACCAUCAAAAUAACAAAUUAAAUCUCUUUUGAUGAACUUGACCACCACAUUGCUUGUCACACAGGUAUAGGAAGCUACCUUAAUCAAUAACAACAAGGAUGAAACAAUGGCCUUUUGAUGCUUUUGGUUCAUUUCUCUUCUUUUUCAUUUUCAUUGUUUUGAUGGUAUCAUAAACAAGCUGAAUUAAAUGGGAACAUUGUGUUGCCCCUGUUUUGAGGGUGAGUCUUGUUUGAAGUAGUUGAAGAAAAUUUUCACUUUUAGGCUCAAAUUUGAGUGGCAAGUGAUGGUCAUACAUCAUUUCAAAUCUUGACUGCUUAUUUUUUAAAAGUUAAUCCUAAGACAAAACUUAAUGAACUCCAUGUUACUCCUUUUCUUUUUAUCUUUUUUUUUUGUUUGUCCUAACUUUUGCUUAGACCACCCUUUCGGGUUUUCAGUCUAACGGACUUUACAUUUUUUCACUUGUUUUUUUUUUUUUUUGCUCAUAGGACUUGUCUCCAUUAAAUGUAGUAGUUGGUGGGACAAAUACUCAUAAAAUGAUAAAUUUGCCCCAAUAAGAAAUCUUCAAAUUUCUAUUGUCAAACUUUCUAAUUGAGAAUCAUCCAACAGACUUGACUUUUAUGAGGACAAACUCUUUAUUUUUUGGAAGAAUAAUGAGGAAACUAUGAGAUGUAAUGGGACAAAGACAAUUUAUGACAAUGAAGAUAACAACACAAUUUGUUAUGCAAGUUAAUGAAAUUGAUACUUAAAGGGUUAACAAUGGUUUUCAAACCAUGUCAAUUGACAAGUUAAAUUUUCAAGGAGCUCAUCUUCUCGAUUGAGAAUUAAAUGUAAGUGAGAACAAUAAUUUCAUGUUAUUCCCCAUUUUUCUUUGUUUCCUGUUUUUUCUUUUUCUUUUAAGACAUUGCAUAAAUUUGUUGCUUGACAUCCUCUUUAAAAGAAAAUAAUCAUAUUAGAUAGUGUUUUUUUUGUAAAUGACAUGAAUGAGCAAUCACUUAGACCUUUAUUUUACUAUGAAAUGCAUGUAUAUAAAAAAUGUUGGAAUGAAGAAUUUGAAAUGAAAAAAAAAUGUUUUUUUUGCUUUUUUAUAUUUUUUUUAUAGAGAAACAAAUGCAUUUGAUUUGCGAUGAUAAAGUGAAAAUGAAUGCAAUUAUGGAGAAUGACAAGAAAAGACGAUAUGCCUAAUGAAUAUACCUAACAUGAUUAUUUAAUCUAAAUAAUGCUUAUGCGUGAAUGUCAUGAAAAAUUAUAAAAAUAUUGAAUGUUAUGAGAUACAUUUUAGACUAAAUGCUCAAAUGGAAUAAUGAUCUUACUUUGAAUUAUGCAAGAGAGAAUUGUAUUCA